rnacentral:rRNA from 1 species
UGAGCAAUCUGCCCUUCUCAUCGGAAUAAGCGUUGGAAACGACGUCUAAUGCCGAAUACGACCUCCUUUCGCAUGAUCGGAGGUGGAAAGCUCCGGCGGAGAAGGAUGAGCUCGCGGCCUAUCAGCUAGUUGGUGUGGGUAAUGGCCCACCAAGGCGACGACGGGUAGCCGGCCUGAGAGGGUGACCGGCCACACUGGGACUGAGACACUGCCCAGACUCCGUAGGGAGG